AGAUUGAACUGAAGAGUUUGAUCCUGGCUCAGAUUGAACGCUGGCGGCAUGCCUUACACAUGCAAGUCGAACGGCAGCACGGGAGCUUGCUCCUGGUGGCGAGUGGCGAACGGGUGAGUAAUAUAUCGGAACGUGCCCUAGAGUGGGGGAUAACUAGUCGAAAGAUUAGCUAAUACCGCAUACGAUCUAUGGAUGAAAGUGGGGGAUCGCAAGACCUCAUGCUCGUGGAGCGGCCGAUAUCUGAUUAGCUAGUUGGUGGGGUAAAAGCUCACCAAGGCGACGAUCAGUAGCUGGUCUGAGAGGACGACCAGCCACACUGGAACUGAGACACGGUCCAGACUCCUACGGGAGGCAGCAGUGGGGAAUUUUGGACAAUGGGCGCAAGCCUGAUCCAGCAAUGCCGCGUGAGUGAAGAAGGCCUUCGGGUUGUAAAGCUCUUUUGUCAGGGAAGAAACGGGUGAGGUUAAUACCUUUGCCUAAUGACGGUACCUGAAGAAUAAGCACCGGCUAACUACGUGCCAGCAGCCGCGGUAAUACGUAGGGUGCAAGCGUUAAUCGGAAUUACUGGGCGUAAAGCGUGCGCAGGCGGUUAUGCAAGACAGAUGUGAAAUCCCCGGGCUCAACCUGGGAAUUGCAUUUGUGACUGUAUGGCUAGAGUGUGUCAGAGGGGGGUAGAAUUCCACGUGUAGCAGUGAAAUGCGUAGAUAUGUGGAGGAAUACCGAUGGCGAAGGCAGCCCCCUGGGAUAACACUGACGCUCAUGCACGAAAGCGUGGGGAGCAAACAGGAUUAGAUACCCUGGUAGUCCACGCCCUAAACGAUGUCUACUAGUUGUCGGGUCUUAAUUGACUUGGUAACGCAGCUAACGCGUGAAGUAGACCGCCUGGGGAGUACGGUCGCAAGAUUAAAACUCAAAGGAAUUGACGGGGACCCGCACAAGCGGUGGAUGAUGUGGAUUAAUUCGAUGCAACGCGAAAAACCUUACCUACCCUUGACAUGUACGGAAUCCUGAAGAGAUUUAGGAGUGCUCGAAAGAGAACCGUAACACAGGUGCUGCAUGGCUGUCGUCAGCUCGUGUCGUGAGAUGUUGGGUUAAGUCCCGCAACGAGCGCAACCCUUGUCAUUAGUUGCUACGAAAGGGCACUCUAAUGAGACUGCCGGUGACAAACCGGAGGAAGGUGGGGAUGACGUCAAGUCCUCAUGGCCCUUAUGGGUAGGGCUUCACACGUCAUACAAUGGUACAUACAGAGGGCCGCCAACCCGCGAGGGGGAGCUAAUCCCAGAAAGUGUAUCGUAGUCCGGAUUGGAGUCUGCAACUCGACUCCAUGAAGUUGGAAUCGCUAGUAAUCGCGGAUCAGCAUGUCGCGGUGAAUACGUUCCCGGGUCUUGUACACACCGCCCGUCACACCAUGGGAGCGGGUUCUGCCAGAAGUAGUUAGCCUAACCGUAAGGAGGGCGAUUACCACGGCAGGGUUCGUGACUGGGGUGAAGUCGUAACAAGGUAGCCGUAUCGGAAGGUGCGGCUGGAUCACCUCCUUUCUAG
rnacentral:rRNA from 4 species